GAAAAGUCUCUAUCGAGGUUAAAGGUACCCGUACCGCAAACCGACACAGGUGGGUGAGGAGAGUAUCCUAAGGCCCGCGAGAGAACUGUUGUUAAGGAACUCGGCAAAAUGACCCCGUAACUUAGGGCUAAGGGGUGCCACCAUCCGGUGGCCGCAGAGAAUAGGCCCAAGCGACUGUUUACCAAAAACAUAGGUUUCUGCUAAGUCGCAAGACGAUGUAUAGGAGCUGACGCCUGCCCGGUGCUGG
rnacentral:rRNA from 1 species